UUUUCCUCCACCAUCCUCAUGGGGUUUUGUAAUUUUUGCUUUCCCCUUUGAAGCUGGGUUCUAAAUGGCAAAAAGAAAGGGAUUCAGAGAAGAUUGCAGCACAAGAACAAAAGAAAUUCCAGUUUCCAAUUCCUGUUGCUGCUAUCGAGAAUUUCCAUCAAAUAAUAAGAUUGGUGGAGUUGGCCACGGCCCUGUUUCAAAUCAAACCAUUUGCAUGAUGGACCUCUGAUUCUUGGUUGAGAUCGUGGUGUCGUUUGAAGGUCAAUAACCAAUACCAUGAAUAAGUCGGAAUUUUGAAGUCAAUUUUAUCCUUCACCAUGAUUUUUACUUAUUCAGGUUGCUGAAAUCUUAAAAGAUCGGCCCUAAUGAUUUCGUGCUUGCCAAGCUGUGGAUGUCCUUAAUGCGAUAUCUACUGGAAACGGUGGAACCAUUGAACUUCUUUAUAUGCAGCUCUAUGCCCUUACUACUGUGGCACCAACUCGUGACUUUUGGCUAUUACACUAUAUGCCUGUGAUGGAAUAUGGCAGUCUCGUUGUGUGUACCACAUGGUCUGUGAAAGAUCGCUGCACAACACUCAGAAUGGUCCCAGUAUGGUACCUGUUCAGCAUUUUGUAAGAGCUAAAAUACUGCCAGCGGAUACUUGAUCACACCUUGUGAAGGAGGUGGCUCCAUAAUCCAUACAGUUGACCACAUAGACUUAGAGCCAUGGAGUGUGCCUGAGGUGACCCGUCCACUAUCUCAGUUGUCAACAUUGCUUGCUCAGAAGACAACAAUGGCAACAGAUCUCGCAUGAAGUUUCUUAGCCUACUGUCACAGGAUGGGGGAGAAGACCUGCAGCAUUAUGAGCACUUAGCCAAUGAUUGAACAAGUAUUUCAAUGAGGCUGUAACUGGUUUCACAGAUGAGGGAUGGUCUGUGCUUGACAGUGAUGGCAUUGAUGAUGUUACUGUUCUUGUGAACUCUUCUCUCGGCAAAUUGAUGGGACUAAAGUUUCUGUCAGCAAUGUAGUGCCAUGUGCCAAGGCCUUAUGCUUUUACAGGUGAGUGAUUUAUUAAUUAAGGAACUUUUCAAAGGAAAGAAGUACAGAUUUAGGGGAGCGAGAAAACCUUCUAUCCAAAAUCUCAGGUGAAAGCAAUGAUCAUGGAGGUAGAAGUAGAUGAAGAAGAUGGAAGAUUAUGUGAUGGUGAUUUGGAUGGAGGCUUCGAUAUUAUUUUUACUAAAACUCUGGAGCAGCAAAUGGAAUUGUGCCCAACCGCUGGAUGUUAUUUUUCUGUUGGAAGCUUUGUGUUUCUUUUUUAUAGUUAUUUUGGAUUUUGU